rnacentral:rRNA from 1 species
UGGAGCCUGCGGUUUAAUUGGACUCAACGCCGGGCAGCUCACCGGAUAAGACAGCUGGAUGAUAGCCGGGCUGAAGACUCUGCUUGACUAGCUGAGAGGAGGUGCAUGGCCGUCGUCAGUUCGUACUGUGAAGCAUCCUGUUAAGUCAGGCAACGAGCGAGACCCACGCCAACAGUUGCCAGCAUGUCCUCCGGGAUGAUGGGGACACUGUUGGGACCGCCUCUGCUAAAGAGGAGGAAGGAAUGGGCAACGGUAGGUCAGCAUGCCCCGAAUUAUCCGGGCUACACGCGGGCUACAAUGGUCAGGACAAUGGGUAUCGACACCGAGAGGUGGAGGCAAUCUCCUAAACCUGUCCUUAGUUCGGAUUGUGGGCUGCAACUCGCCCACAUGAAGCUGGAAUCCGUAGUAAUCGCGUUUCAAAAUAGCGCGGUGAAUAUGUCCCUGCUCCUU